AUUGAACGCUGGCGGCAGGCCUAACACAUGCAAGUCGAGCGGAGCGGCGGACGGGUGAGUAAUGCCUAGGAAUCUGCCUGGCAGUGGGGGAUAACGUCCGGAAACGGGCGCUAAUACCGCAUACUAUCAGAUGAGCCUAGGUCGGAUUAGCUCGUUGGUGGGGUAAAGGCCUACCAAGGCUACGCUCCGUAACUGGUCUGAGAGGAGGAUCAGUCACACGGGAACUGAGACACGGUCCAGACUCCUACGGGCGGCAGAGGCGGGGAAUAGUGGACAAUGGGCGAAAGCGUGAUCCAGCCAUACCGCGGGUGUGAAGAAGGUCUUCGGAGUGUAAAGCACUUUAAGGUGGGAGGCUUUACCAACAGAAUAAGCACGGGCUAACUUCGUGCCAUCAGUCGCGGUAAUAC
rnacentral:rRNA from 1 species